UAUCCUGACAUUAUAAAUAUCACACAUCUCAACGUCAGAGUCGCAGUGAGCAGGAGAUUCUCUCUUUCAGAUCAUCUCAAGAUUCAAUUUUGGAAAUUAUUUGGAAAAACAAACUAAUUUAAUGCAUGGCAGGAUUAUAUCCGGACCAUCACAAACUGCAAAAGAAAGACAAAACAAGAAAGAAGAGAAAAAUGUCAAGCAAAAAGGACAUGAUACAACCUGAUCAAGCAAAAACUAAAAAGACACAUGUGAGACGGCAAAGCAUUUACAGUGGCAAACCCAAUUUUUCUAAUGAUGAGGACAGUUUUGAGGUGAGAGAUGAUCUAUAUAUACAGAGAUGAAAUAGAAACUGUAAAUAUUCAACGCAUUCUCAUCCCAAGGCAUCAUAUACGACGCUUUUGCCACAUCCAAGGCACAUGGCACCC